rnacentral:lncRNA from 1 species
UUCCGUGUAAAAAAAAUAAAAUCCUUAUCAUGUGUUAAAUAAUUUAUUUAUUUCUCAAAUAAAGCAUAUGCAUUUUUUCACAUACUUGAAUUAACACUUCAAUAUGAGACAUGAAAAUCAACAUAAAACGGACAUAUGGUUCUAAACCAACAAGCAACUUAACUUAAGUAUCUACGGAUCCAAGUUCAUGCAUUUGGCUAAGGCGACAGAUGACGUAACAUGGACCACCGACUAUCAAGAUAGAUUCAUGACAUAUAGGGGAAAACUAAGGCAAACAGAGCCAUUUGACCAAACAUGAUGCACCUCCGGAGGCCCAGUGAAAGAGAACAAAUACAAAUUUCGAUACAGGAAGUGUACUCUCUUUUUAAAAUAAAAAAAAAUAAAAAAUAAAAAAUAGACUCACAUAGAAAUUACAGAGGAAUUAACUCAAGGUGUGGAGCAACAUAGCCAAACAUGACAAAUUUAUAGUGAGUUACCCAACAUAGCAUUAUUGACUGAGAUGCGAAAGAUACAUAUAACAUUUAGCCAUAUAAGAGACAAAGAUAGAUUCUACGAAAUUAAACUAGCAUGCGAGAACUCGAAACGAUGCAAAGACAACCUAGAACACGAACGAACAGUGAGGGAAAUAAGCUACAAAAUUAGCACACUCCAAGCAUAAACUAGAUGCGCCUCGACUAUUCGGAGAAAAACGAGACAGAGAUUCAAUUAGCCUUAUACAUGCUGCCAAGACAAAAACCCAAACGAUUGAUAACUAAACCCCGGAGAACCAGAAUCAUACAUGAUUCUCAAAGAUCAGCAGAAAACCUCACCCAAAAAUAAAAAAUAAAACACUAGCAACAAAGACAACAACAAGAAUGAACACAUGAAAUGCCAUAUAGGAAAGUGAGUAUAAAAGGGAAUGAAGUUACCGUUCUUGGAGCAGCGAACUCUGGACAGCUACGAGCCUGAACGACGACCUUCACCAGGAAACCCGAACACUAGCAAUGACCAGGAAAUCUGGACAGAAAUUUGAACUCAAACACCGAAACUAUUCCCCCUUUUCUUGCGAAAUGUAUUUAGUGUAUUUUAAGUACUCCAGCUCUUCUCUGUAUUGUAUAGGUAUUUUAUAGCUAUUUCUUACUAUGGUUGCUCUCUGUAUCUCUGUUAGGGAAAGAAAAUGUCAACUAAAGAUCUCCAAAUUUCACCACUCUAUCUCUCCAAUCCUC